ensembl:lncRNA
UCACUUUCACGUUGUGAAGCUUUGUUCUUUCAUCACUGUUUGCAGUAUAUUUUGCUGCUGCUUACUCUUGGGGUCCAUGCCACCUUAAGAACUGUAACACUCAACCAUAAAGGUAUGGAGCUUCACUGCUGAAAUCAGCGAGACCACGAACCCACCAGAAGGAAGAAACUCUGAACACGUCUGAACAUCAGAAGGAACAAACUCCAGACACACCAUUUUUAAGAACCGUAACACUCACCUCGAGGGUCCACGGCUUCAUUCUUGAAGUCAGUGAGACCAAGAACCCACCAAUUCCGGACACAGCAGGAUAAGAAAGGAAAAUGGGGACUUGUUUUACACAUGAUUUGAAAGAUGGUUGAAUCCAUGGAUGUGGAACCCACGGAUAUGGAGGGCUGACUUUGUUCAACUAUGCUAAUCCUUUGGCCAGGUCACAUCCCUGUACUUCAGCUACUUUAUAAUCUGAAAGCUGUUCCUGCAUGGAAAGAUGACAGAUGGAUGUAGCUGAAUCUAUGAAGGUGUGUACUUGUCCCAAAUGUGCAGGAUAAAUAAAUACAGAAGUCACCAACAGAAGACUCAGUCAAUGCUAGUGUCAGAGGCAUGUGAACCAGAGCAACUCCAUAGGAGCUGGGUAAAACGAGGCUGAGACCUACUGGUCUGCAUUCCCAGACGAUUAAGGCAUUCUAAGUCACAGGAUGAGAUAGGAGGUCGGCACAAGAUACAGGUCAUAAAGGCCUUGUUGAUAAAACAGGUUGCAGUAAAGAAGCCGGCUAAAUCCCACCAACACCAAGAUGGUGAUGAGAGUGACCUCUGGUCGUCCUCACUGCUACAACUCCCACCAGCGCCGUGAGAGUUUACAAAUGCCAUGGCAAUGUCAGGAAGUUACCCUAUAUGGUCUAAAAAGGGGAGGUAUGAAUAAUCCACCCCUUGUUUAGCAUAUCAUCAAGAAAUCACCAUAAAAAUGGGUAACCAGCAGCCUUGGGGGCUGCUCUGCAUUAGAAGUAGCCAUUCUUUUAUCCCUCCACUUUCCUAAUAAACUUGUUUUCACUUUACAGACUCGCCCUGAAUUCUUUAUUGUGCGAGGCCCAAGAACCCUCUCUUAGGGUCUGGAUCGGGACCCCUUUCCUGUAGCAUUAGGACAGGGCCAGCCUCGAGCCGCAGAGUCUUCUCUGUAGAAUUGCUCCACCCCCAGUGCCUGUAGAGUGAAGUUCCACAGCUGGCAGGACUAUAGAUCCUGCCACCUGGCUAUUUCAUUAUUUGUUUUUUGAAAAUCCACUUAAACGAACCAUUCUGGAACCAAGAGAUGAAAAUACUCCUAAAAACCGUUGGAUUACCUCAUCCCACUGUGAGAAGUAUCUCUGUGCUUGCUUGUUCCUUUUCUGGAUGAAGAUCAGCUGAACACAGCGGCAGCAUUAAUGUUCCUUGCUGGCAUUUCAGCUCAACGUCUCCAGGCAGGCGCUUCGCCAAGCCCUCCUCUGCCCAUUUGAAAUUCAAAUCCCUUGAAUAAGCCUCAGUGCCACCUUUGUCCAAAAACCUCAAAAGCCCCAGUCCGUGUCGAUCUGCCUUUAAAUUAUAAAGAGACAUAUGACUGCGUAGGAAGAUAAACUGUGUUGAAAUAACAUCCAGGGUGGUUGUUAAAUAAAUUCAGGAAAACCAAGACAUUCACUGUUAAGCCGAGACACUGUCCUCAACUCACCUCCCAGACAAGAAGUGGGCAAAGAAGCCACAUACUGGGAGCCCACACUCUUGAACUCCGGCUCAGCUUUUAGGAUCUUCAACGGCUAUUUGUACUUAAAAAUAAUGUAAGUUACCAACUGUUUGCAGCCUCUGAGCUCCUGGAGAGGCGUUCUUAAAGUCUUAGCUUAAAAAAUCUUUAGUUAUGAUGGGAGAAUCUUGGGUCCAUUUUCUUUUUAGGCAAUUCAUGUGUUGUAUGUCCUUGGAAAAAGCACUUGACCACCCUGCACUUUAUUUUCCACAUCUGCAAAAUGGGGAUAUUCAGAUUUGGAUCAUAGGGUUGUUGCGAGGGUUAAAUAAGAGGCAUGGGAAGAUGCCUUGAGAGCUAAAAGAUCCAAUGUAAUGUAAGCUUUUUUUUUAAAAAAACGAAGACUCUAAGAGCGAUGCAGCUGCACUUUGGGACUGAUGAGGGAUUUGUUUGAAGCCUGUGGCUCAGUUCGAUUUAAAAGGAAUUUACCAGACACCUCCUCUUCAUUUAGCAUGCUUUCCCUGGUGCCAAAGAGCUUGUGGGGGUGUGGUUGGAGUAGGGGUGGUGGGGAGACGAGAAACAGAAAUAAAAAUGACUACACAGCAGUUCACAGAACCAAGUGUCUUCGAGCAAGGUUAACUUCUCUAAGCUGAGUUUCCUUAGUAAUAAGGUGGGUGACAUUAACAAGGCCUACCUCAUAGAAUUCUUGUAGGCAUUAGAAGAGAUAGGAGGGACAGAGCAUUGAGCAGAGUGUCUGGCACACAGGAAACUCCAUAAAUUUAUCUGCUUUUUAAAAGACAAUUUAAAUUUGUUUUCCUCAAUAAAGGCAGUCAAAUUCUGAUAUUCUUUUCUAUCAGCUUUAAGAAAAGGGAAUUGUUUUUUUAAUGUCUGUAAUAGAAUCCAGGAAGGUUUCUGAACCAGAGUAACUGUGCAAAAUUAACCUGGCAGCAGUUUGGGGAGGGAAUGAAAGAAGGUCAGGCAGUAGUUAGGAGACCUAUUAAGAUGAUAUUUUAAUCAUCUCCAAGAGGCAGGCCUGGAAAAUGUGAUUGAGGAAGAUGAUAAAUGAAUGAGUAAAGGCUCAGACGAGGCAAGAGGGACCAGGAUUAAGAAUAUGGGACUUGGUGGCACGUAUCCAUCGCUCAUUCUGUCCAUCUCCUUUCCAUGGGCUAGGCCCAUGGCACCAUUUGGUCAUGGCAGUCUUUCCCCCAGACCAAGCUCUGUAGGCGUUAUUGCCAUUGGCUUCAGCUUGGCACAACCCAUGGGCUCUCUUUAGAGAUGGAGGAGCUCAUCUUCAAAGGGAGGAGCAUGACUUUUCCAGGAGUAGGAGCUAAGGAAGAGAGGGAGGGUGAAUCUAGCAAUGGAAUCUCAAGAUGGAAAUUACCAGAUAACUCAACUGCCUCUUCAGUAUAGGAAUCUGGUUUAUGAUUUAAGUGCACAACAUAGCAAUGAAGCAGCAGGGGAUGAAGAGCAGAGGGAAGAUUUAGACUGCUCUCCAUAAAAUAAUGACGUAUUUAUUGUGCAAUUAUUAUGUGUUAGGUCCUCUGUUAGAGGCUUUGCAUGCUUUUCUUGUUUAAUUCUUACUGUAACAUUAUGAAGUUAGUCAUAUUAUCUCCAUUUUGUAGAUGAGGAAACUGAGGGCAAGGGGCCCCAAAUGACUUAGGAGUAGAUUUAAAGGCAGGCAGUAUGACUCUAGAGCCCAAGCUCUAUGCUAAACUGAGCGUUUUGAAUAUAUUAAGGAAACAAGAAACGGAAAAGACCUAAUAAAUGUCUUUUGGGUUUUGCUUUCAUACCCAGGGCUUACUCAAUUAAUUUUUGAAAAUAUGUUCUAAUGUCAAUUAAAGUUGAGGAAA